rnacentral:rRNA from 1 species
UACGUAGGGGGCAAGCGUUGUCCGGAUUUAUUGGGCGUAAAGAGCGUGUAGGCGGUUUGGUAGGUCCGUUGUGAAAACUCGAGGCUCAACCUCGAGACGCCGGUGGAAACCAUCAGACUAGAGUCCGGAAGAGGAGAGUGGAAUUCCUGGUGUAGCGGUGAAAUGCGCAGAUAUCAGGAGGAACACCAAUGGCGAAAGCAGCUCGCUGGGACGGUACUGACGCUGAGACGCGAAAGCGUGGGGAGCAAACAGG